AACACAUGCAAGUCGAACGGUAACAGGAAGAAGCUUGCUUCUUUGCUGACGAGUGGCGGACGGGUGAGUAAUGUCUGGGAAACUGCCUGAUGGAGGGGGAUAACUACUGGAAACGGUAGCUAAUACCGCAUAACGUCGCAAGACCAAAAAGGGGGACCUUCGGGCCUCUUGCCAUCGGAUGUGCCCAGAUGGGAUUAGCUAGUAGGUGGGGUAACGGCUCACCUAGGCGACGAUCCCUAGCUGGUCUGAGAGGAUGACCAGCCACACUGGAACUGAGACACGGUCCAGACUCCUACGGGAGGCAGCAGUGGGGAAUAUUGCACAAUGGGCGCAAGCCUGAUGCAGCCAUGCCGCGUGUAUGAAGAAGGCCUUCGGGUUGUAAAGUACUUUCAGCGGGGAGGAAGGGAGUAAAGUUAAUACCUUUGCUCAUUGACGUUACCCGCAGAAGAAGCACCGGCUAACUCCGUGCCAGCAGCCGCGGUAAUACGGAGGGUGCAAGCGUUAAUCGGAAUUACUGGGCGUAAAGCGCACGCAGGCGGUUUGUUAAGUCAGAUGUGAAAUCCCCGGGCUCAACCUGGGAACUGCAUCUGAUACUGGCAAGCUUGAGUCUCGUAGAGGGGGGUAGAAUUCCAGGUGUAGCGGUGAAAUGCGUAGAGAUCUGGAG
rnacentral:rRNA from 1 species